AAGUCGUAACAAGGUCUCCGUUGGUGAACCAGCGGAGGGAUCAUUACCGAGUUUACCGCUCAUAACCCUUUGUGAACCUUUAUACCUAGUUGCCUCGGCGGCGCGCCUCCGGGCGUGCCCGCCGGUGUUACAGUCUCUCAGUUUGAAACCGACGUUACUUCUGAGUGUUCUAAGCGAACUGUUAAAACUUUCAGCAACGGAUCUCUUGGCUCCA
rnacentral:misc_RNA from 1 species